rnacentral:rRNA from 1 species
GAUGAACGCUGGCGGCGUGCCUAAUACAUGCAAGUCGAGCGAACGGACGAGAAGCUUGCUUCUCUGAUGUUAGCGGCGGACGGGUGAGUAACACGUGGAUAACCUACCUAUAAGACUGGGAUAACUUCGGGAAACCGGAACUAAUACCGGAUGAUAUUUUGAACCGCAUGGUUCAAAAGUGAAAGACGGUCUUGCUGUCACUUAUAGAUGGAUCCGCGCUGCAUUAGCUAGUUGGUAAGGUAACGGCUUACCAAGGCAACGAUGCAUAGCCGACCUGAGAGGGUGAUCGGCCACACUGUAACUGAGACACGGUCCAGACUCCUACGGGAGGCAGCAGUAGGGAAUCUUCCGCAAUGGGCGAAAGCCUGACGGAGCAACGCCGCGGGAGUGAUGAAGGUCUUCGGAUCGUAAAACUCUGUUAUUAGGGAAGAACAUAUGUGUAAGUAACUGUGCACAUCUUGACGGUACCUAAUCAGAAAGCCACGGCUAACUCCGUG